GUGUCAGCAGCCGCGGUAAUACGAAGGGUGCAAGCGUUAAUCGGAAUUACUGGGCGUAAAGCGCGCGUAGGUGGUUUGGUAAGUUGGAUGUGAAAGCCCCGGGCUCAACCUGGGAACUGCAUCCAAAACUGCCUGACUAGAGUACGGUAGAGGGUGGUGGAAUUUCCUGUGUAGCGGUGAAAUGCGUAGAUAUAGGAAGGAACACCAGUGGCGAAGGCGACCACCUGGACUGAUACUGACACUGAGGUGCGAAAGCGUGGGGAGCAAACAGGAUUAGAAACCCCCGUAGUCC
rnacentral:rRNA from 1 species